AUGCAUGUGGCUACACCGGGGCGCAUUAUUUUGGCCAAGGCCGUGCUCACUGCCAUUGCCAUUUACCACCUCACGCCUCUAGAUCUUCCGAUUGAAGUGAUGAAGAAGAUCGAUAGCCUGCGACGUGCCUACCUUUGGGCGGGCUGUGAUAAGGUGACCGACGGAAAAUGUAAGGUUAAUUGGGAUCUCGUCUGCAAGCCCAAGAUUUAUGGUGGACUGGGAGUGCUCAACCUCCAAAAAUUUGCAACCGCCCUGCGUUUGCGUUGGCUGUGGCACGAAUGGGAUGAACCACCUAAGACUUGGUCUGGC
rnacentral:rRNA from 1 species